ensembl:lncRNA
GUUUUACCAUAAUUUGCCAUUUACUUUGAAACGUUAUCAUUAUACUUUAUUUUUUACAUUGUUGUGUCUCAACGGGCUAUAAAUAAGAGCUAAGCGCAAUGGUCAGGUCACUGAGGAAGACCUCAGUUUGACGUCGAAACGUUAGUCACCUGUUCGCGUCCUGUACGAUGGAUGAAAGUGAGCAUAAAGAAAUCAAUAUCUGCCUUUGCCAGGUGGCUGGUCUCAGACGAACCCGCAGGUGAAGAAGCCAGAUGUGGAGGUCCUGGGUUGGCGAUGGUCUAUUUGUGGUCUGCGUUGGUGAGGCCAGUUGGGCGUACUGCCCAAUUCUCUAAAACAAUGUUGGAGGCAUCUUAUGGUAGAGACAUUAACAUAAAAUUAUCUGGCAACAACUCUGGUGGACAUUACUGCAGUCAGUGUCAAUUGCAUGCUCCCUCAAAAUUUGAGACGUCUGUGGCAUUGUGUUGUGACAAAACUGCACAUUUUAGAGUGGCUUUUUAUUGUCCCAGCACAAGGUGCACCUGUGUAAUGAUCAUGCUGUUUAAUCAGCUUCUUGAUAUGCCAAAUCUGUCAGGUGGAUGGAUUAUCUUGGCAAAGGAGAAAUGCUCACUAAUAGGGAUGUAAACAAAUUUGUGAACAAAAUUUGAGAGAAAUAAGGUUUUGGCAUAUGGAAAAUGUAUAUGUGAACUUUUAUUUCAGCUCAUGAAACAUGGGACCAACACAUUACAUGUUGCGUUCAUAUUUUUGUUCAGUAUACAUUGUCAGUCAUAGGCUUCACUGGGAAAUGUGUUGUUGUUGUACUCACAAUCUGGCCAUACCCCAACCAAAAACCCUGGAUGAACAGAGAUAUUUGUACCAUGCUGAGAGCCCGUACUGCAGCAUUCAAUGUCAGCAGAACAAACUCUGAUGACUCGGUGAUGCGUGACAGAUACAAGGCAAGCAGGUACGAACUCCCCAAAUCCAUUAGGGAUGCAAAAAGACAAUACAGACACAAACUUGAAUUGACAGUCGACAACUCAAGACUUGCGAUGCAUGUGGCAAGGACUACAGACUAUUACGGACUACAAAGGCAAAUCCAGCUGUGUGGCCCACCAAAGUGUCCCUCCCAGAUGAUCUUAACAUAUUCUAUGCUUGCUUCGAAGCAGACAAUAUCGAACCAUCCAGGAAGACUCUCGCUGCUACGGACGACCAGGUGCUUUCGUUCUCCGAGGCUGAAGUGAGGGAAAACUCUUAAAAGAGUGAAUACUCACAAAGCUGCCAGCCCAGAUGGCAUCCCUGGCCGUGUCCUCAGUGUAUGCUGACCAGCUGAUGGGCUUCUUUUUUGACUUCUUAAACAUGUCACUGUCCCAGGCCAUAGUCCCCGCCUGCUUCAAGGAGACCACCAUCGUCCCAGUGUCCAAGAAAAACAAGAUGAUGUGUCCAAAUGACUAUCACCCCGUCAUACUCAUCCCAGUCAUCAUGAAGUGUCAAAAGAGGCUGGUCAUGGCCCACAUCAAGGCCAGCAUGCCAGCAGUCUCUGUAUCGCAACACAUGUUCUAUGGGGAUCACCAGUCUUUGUCUGUUUGGUACAAAUACAACAUGUAGCACCUCAGAGCCCAACUGCUAGAGCGGACAAGCAGUGUUCAACAUCAGUAGCAUCAAGCACAAGGGCUGCCUGGUCACACAUUUCUGCAACACCACAUCCACUUCUUCCAUAUUCCUGGGAGUCGGCUACAUCGUCUCAUAGACCUGCUCCAGCACCAAUCUGCAACGGGGUUGGCUCCGUACAACUACCUCUCACAGUGGCCCUUGGUGCAGCCCUGGUGGCCAUCUGGAGCACCUUAGCCUAGACAAACCAUUCACAAUAAGGAUACCUCCUCCAUAGGUUUCCAUGUGUUGUUAUAGUUCUUAAAUACAUAAAAUGUACUAAAACAAGUAAUAUUCUGAAAAAGACAGCAAGUUUUAUGCAGGCUAGUUUCACUAAGCUUUAGUUCUGCUUUAGUUCUGUGUAUUCCGGGUUUCCAAGCUGGUUACGGGUGCACCUCAGCCACGCUCAAGGUACUAAACGAUAUAACCGCCAUCGAUAAAAGACAGUACUAUGUCUUCAUCGACCUGGCCAAGGCUUUCGACUCUGUCAAUCACCGCAUUCGCAUCGGCAGACUCAACAGCAUUGGUUUCUCAAAUGACUGCCAACUACUUCUCAGACAGAGUUCUGUGUGUCAAAUCGGAGGGCCUGUUGUCUGGACCUUUUAAUUUUUUUAUUUUACCUUUAUUUAACUAGGCAAGUCAGUUAAGAACAAAUUCUUAUUUGGCAGUCUCUAUGGGGGUACCACAGGGUUCAAUUCUCGGGCCGACUCUUUUCGGUGUAUAUAUCAACAAUGUCGCUCUUGCUGCAGGUGAUUCCCUGAUCCACCUCUACGCAGUCGACAUUUUGUAUACAUCUGGCCCUUCUCUGGACACUGUGUUAACAAACCUCCAGAUGAGCUUCAAUGCCAUACAACACUCCUUCCGUGGCCUCCCAACUGCUCUAAAACGCUAGUAAAAGCAAAUGCUUGUUUUUCAACUAGCAUCACUACUCUGGACGGUUCUAACUUAGAAUAUGUGGACAACUACAAAUACCUAGGUGUCUGGAUAGACUGUAAACUCUCCUUCCAGACUCAUAUUAAACAUCUCCAAUCCAAAAUUAAAUCUAGAUCUAAAUCUAAAACUGACUAUCCUACCGAUCCUCGACGAUGUCAUUUUCAAAAUAGCUUCCAAUACUAUACUCAGCAAACUGGAUGCAGUCUAUCACAGUGUCAUCCGUUUUGUUACCAAAGCCCCAUAUACCACCCACCACUGCGACUUGUAUGCUCUAGUCGGCUGGCCCUCACUACAUAUUCGUCGCCAGACCCACUGGCUCCAGGUCAAUUAUAAGUCGAUGCUAGGUAAAGCUCCGCUUUAUUUCAGCUCACUGGUCACGAUAACAACACCCACCCAUUGCACACGCUCCAGCAGGUGUAUCUCACUGGUCAUCCCCAAAGCAAACACCUCCUUUGGCCACCUUUCCUUCCAGUUCUCUGCUGCCAAUGACUGGAACGAAUUGCAAAAAAAUAUAUAUAUUUUCUUUAAAUAAUAAAUAAAUAAAUAAAUAAACAUUUUUAAUAUAUAAAAAUGACAAUUUAAAAAAUGAAAAAAAUAGACAUAUUACCCUCACUAACUUUAAACAUCAGCUAACCGAUCGCUGCAGCUGUACAUAGCCUAUCUAACUACCUCAUUCCCAUAUUGUUUUUAUUUACUUUUCUGCUCUUUUGCACACCAGUAUUUCUACUUGCACAUCAUCAUCUGCUCAUCUAUCACUCCAGUGUUAAUUUUCUAAAUUGUAAUUACUUCGUUACAAUGGCCUAUUUAUUGCCUUACAUCCUCACUCCAUUUGCACACACUGUAUAUAGACUUUCUUUUUUUCUAUUGUGUUAUUGACUGUACGCUUGUUUAUUCUACGUGUAACUCUGUGUUGUUUGUGUCGCACUGCUUUGCUUUAUCUUUGCCAGGUCGCAGUUGUAAAUGAGAACUUGUUCUCAACUAGCUUACAUGGUUAAAUAAAGGUGAAAUAAAAUAAAAAUAGCUCAAAGUGACAACUCAAACUGGUUUUACCUCUAGGCUAAACAACAUCCUACUAUAGCAUCGUUAUGAACAGUUCAAAUCUAUGUCACUAUUUAUACUGGGAACACAUCAAUGACAAGCAUUUUUCAAUGGCAUACCAUCUUCUCAACCAUGUCACUAUUAAUUAUCAUAUCUAGUAAGUUAUCAUUUUCCCUAUUAGGCAUGUUGCACUCUGUACUCAUAAAGAUAACCUUAUGAUUAUUUAUUGUACAUAAAAUAAAUACAUGUACUCAAAAAUAUCUACUAUUAUAUGUGUGUGAAAUGAUUGAACAAAUACUAUAAUAAAGAUGUUAAAUUAUACCCUUACCAAAAAAUAGGCUUCUGGCAAACAGCUGUGGCAAACCUUUGACCAAUUUGCAGCAAGCUCAUAUUUUCACAUGUAAAUUUGCUUUUGGCAAACAGUUUCGGCAAAUUUGCAGCAACUUGUUAACUUCUUGCAAACAAGUCAGGGAAACGUGUGGCAAAUAUUCUACUGUUUGCUGCAAAUUGGUUGCAAACUCAGUAUGAAUAUUUCAAUUAGAUCAGGUUUUUAGUUACUGUGUGUUAACAUGGAAAUGUAUCUAAAUACACCAAAUCAUAUAUAAAACUUUAAAUGAACUUCUCAGAGAAAAAACUAAACAUACGAAAUGUAGUAAAUAUACCAAACAACUUGUAUUCAAUUUCUUAACAGAAAAUAAAUGAAAUCCUCAGCAUGGUAAUGAAGAAAAGAGCAAUGACUGGAUAUUAUCAGGAUUUUUUAAAAUGUCAAAUUAGUAUGUACAGUGGCAAGAAAAAGUAUGUGAACCCUUUGGAAUUACCUGGAUUUCUGUAUAAAUUGGUCAUCAAAUUUGAUCCGAUCUUCAUCUAAGUCACAGCAAUAGACAAACAGUGUGCUUACAAUAAUUUGUGUGUCAUAUUAGUUUAUUUCUCAUCUAUAUUGAAUACAUUUAAAAACAUUCACAAUCUAGAUUGGGAAAAGUUUGUAUUUGAACACCUAGGCUAAUGACUUCUCCAAAAAUGAAUUGGAGUCAGGAGUCAGCUAACCUGAAGUCCAAUCAAUGAGACGAGAUUAGAGAUGUUGGUUAGAGCUGCUUUGCCCUAUUAAAAAAACCUCAGAAAAUUUGAGUUUGCUAUUCACAAGAAGCAUCGCCUGAUGUGAACCAUGCCUCAAACAAAAAGAGAUCUCAGAAGACCUAAGAUUAAGAAUUGUUGACUUGCAUAAAGCUGGAAAGGAUUACAAAAGUAUCUUUAAAAACCUUGAUGUUCAUCAGUCCACGGUAAGACAAAUUGUCUAUAAAUGGAGAAUGUUCAGCACUGUUGCUACUCUCCCUAGGAGUGGCCAUCCUGCAAAGAUGACUGCAAGAGCACAGUGCAGAAUGCUCACUGAGGUUAAAACCUUAUAUGGCUGCGAUCCCCGUACAGGGAUCCCGAACAUCGGGGAAAUUUCAGUGACAAUUAAAAGUACAACGUCGUAACAUUAAACAUUCUUGAAAAUGCACGUGUCUUACAUCCUUCAAAAGAUUAGGAUCUUGGUAAUCAAACUACUUUUUCCGAUUUAAAAUAGCUAUUACAGAGAACAAAUAUCAUGCUUUGUUUGAGAAGAGCAUUCAACAACAAAAACAUUUUCUGCCAUGACAGUUUUUACACAUUCACAUCUGAAGGUAAAAUUAUGACUUACAUUCUGAUAUCUUGCUCUUAUGUCUCUUCCUGAGGGUUCCAGUGAUCAAAUGAAGUGCCGUUUUCUUUGAUAAAAUCAAUUUUUAUAGCCUAAAUCGAAAAACUUUUUGUAACCUGUUUGUGCCGUGAAUUCCAUCUCUAUCAAUUUUUUACAGAGCAUUCGACGUAAUUACACACGGUAAACAAUCGUUUAUCUAGUCAUGGUUGGUUUCAGUGCAUUCCUCUGGAUGUUUGCAACACAGCCAAUUGAUUUUUUUUGCGGUGAGUAUUGACCGAAGUGAACUGAUUUGAAGACAACGAGCAAUGACUACCUUGCGCACCAAUAAUUUUAGCGAAACUUCGUUGAUUGACUGUAUGCCCAAUGACCACUGAUCUUCUUGAAAUCUAGCUGGGUAGAUAGCCAAUGAGCCGAGGUAAACGCCAGUAUGUAAUGGUUUUGGGUUGGACCACCAUUCCUUGUUUGAAAAUGCACGCGUAAGGAACUCCAUUCUCGCCUUGACUAUCAGAGGAGUUGCUGUGAGGCUUGUUACGCACAGCAGUAUUUUGGAAAGUUGUAUUUUCAAUGAUUUCAUUGAAGACAUCAUGGCGAAUAAAUCAGGAAAAGCGAAGUCAAAGUCUAAGUAUACAGAUUUGCACCAGAUUAUAGAAUAGAAGAGAUUGAUUUGGAAAGUGAUCUGGAAAGUUUUUUGUUUCAGGAAUCUUUGAGUGUUAUGAUUCAAACAGGAGCUGAGGAGCUGUUUCUGCAAGGACAGGACGUACUUCUGGACGGUGAUAGCGACUCCGACUGGGAGCCCCCGGUGCCAAACUGCCCGCUCUAUCUCUGCCCCCUCUACUCCUGCCUCCAGUGGUGUUCAUAUGCCACAGUUCAUUACUGCAGGCAUAACUGUGUCUCAGGGCCAAAAGGGCACAGCAUGGAGGUGUCGUUGUGUUCUGUGUCACAUGACCUGCACCACUUGUUCAGUUUGCCUCUGCUUUACAUCAGAAAGAGACUGCUAUGGGACAUGGCACAGGCAGCAAAAUAUUGUGUAGAGGACUUCCAAAGGGUGUACUGUUUUUUUUUUUUUUAAAUGUUAGAAAAUAAAUGUUUUAACAUUUUUUUUGUGUAUGUUAGAAUUGCUUUUUGAUAUGUUGUAUAUAGUUAUUUGCACUGUUGUAUAUAGUUAUAGGUAAUUUCACCAAUUCGGCCACUUGGGUACAUUUGGGCAACUUGUGUGGGACACCUGGGUGACUUCAUGCUAAAUGUCAUGUAGCUCACCCAUUCCUGAAGUUAUCAGUCUGAAACUUUGCACACCUACAAAUUAUCUCCAGCUAUUCUAGUACAUGUGAAAGAU